UGUACACACCGCCCGUCACAUCACGAAAGUUGACUGUACCGGAAGCCGGUAGGCUAACCCGCAAGGGAGGCAGCCGUCCAUGGUAUGGUGAGCGAUUGGGGUGAAGUCGUAACAAGGUAGCUGUAGGGGAACCUGUGGCUGGAUCACCUCCUU
rnacentral:rRNA from 1 species